AAUAAAAGCAAAAAGGGGCCAGUGAGCAUGCAAAAUCAGUGCCAAAUCCAUGUGCUAAACUGUAUGCGCUUAACUCCUGGAAAGCUGCUUUUGGCCCAUUUGUUCUCACUUAAAAUCUUUAAAAUUUCCAAUGAGCUUGACCCCUUGCUUUCCUAGGCUACAACAACUGGAAGCAGAUUGGGAGUGAGGAGGAAGUGGGCAGAGGAUGUCUGGUGGCCUUGGUGACCAGCAGCUGAGGACCCAUUGAUACCCAGGUGGAGAGGGAGGUGCCGAUUCUCCUGAAUCACGAGAGCAAAGAAAUCACACGUUCUGAGGCCACGAGCUGUCUGCUUUCACCGCGCCUCCCCUCUCAUCAGUGUGGAAGAAAAUCACCAUAUGCGUGAAUGUGACAGCUGAGGCUCAUGAAGACCUGAGUCAGGAGAAACAGGAUAAUACAUAUUUCAAAUGUUCUCUUUCCUAAGCCCAUUCCAUGUGUAAAAUGUUUUAGAAAGAUUUCCAUCCCACAUAAUUAAUUUUUCUUAAGGCCUUGGUUUUUAAAGAGGUAAGCUUGCCAAAUUUGGGCAUUUCACUGACGGGGAAUAUAUCUAAUUCCCCGAAACCUAGGUAAAUUCUUUCCUAAAUGGUAUAUGAUCCAUUAAGGAGUUUCCCAACCGAGUUUAGGGAAUAGAUACAAACUACAAAGCAUACCAUUAAAGAGCAAUUAAAGCACUAGCUCUGCCACAACUAUCAGGAAUAACAGGAUAACUGAAGCAGAGGACCUCACGUGGGCUGGGACAGGUGGAAAAGAUUCCAAGACAGCGCUGCACAAUCGCAAGCUCAUUGCAGGCAGGGAGCUCCGCCUAGCCCUCUUUGCAUCUCCUCUGAAAUGCUUACCUUGCAGGAGGUACUCUGAAAAUGCUUCCUGACUGAUGUCUGUAGGGGUGAGAUUUGGUGGGAGAAUAAUACAGCUAAUUGUGUAUGUGCGAAAGGGUUUGGUGUGAAACAGAGUGACUUGAUCUAGAUGAAUGAAAAGCCGUGUGGGGGAAUUGUGAGACAUCCUUAUUGCUAUGUAGGCUGCAGCAGAGGAUUGAAACAGCUGGUGGAUAGGGCAGCGCUCCAGGAUGUUGGCGUCCACGUGAGUUCCUGAGCUGAAGUCUGCAGAGCACCACCAUGACCCGGAAGGCAUACAGAACUUGGAGUGGAGGGAUCAGGAUUCAGAGCACGUUUCAGCGCUACACCUAUCUGGCACGUAGAAGGAAUUCAGAAAUACUGAAUGAAGGAGCACCUGUUACGUACCUAGCAUUGAGCAAGGAGCUAGCAAUACAGAAUAGAGGU
rnacentral:lncRNA from 10 species